rnacentral:lncRNA from 1 species
GCUACUAUCUAGAUCUACUCUAGUUUAGAGAAGAGAGGAGAGCUCUCAUCUGUAAACCCUAGCUUUUGCUCUGUCUAUGAAUAAUGAAUAAUGAUCAAGGGGUGCCUCCUCCAGGGCCAGGGGGUCUGGUUAUAUAGUCCCCUCAAGUGAACCUGGGCCAUUGGAUCAAACUGACAUUGAUUGAACGGUUAUUCUUGAUCCUUUAGGUCGGUGGAGAUCUCCCGAGAGAAAGAGUCCUGAUUGGGCUCCAACAGAGGGUGGGCGCCCAGGGAAACAGGGCGGGCGCCCUGCCUCUUGCCCCUCUCGGCCUCCGCUUCCUUCCCGUGGCUUCUGGAGUCUUCUAGAUGUAAGAUAAUUGCGCGGCACGUUAAUAUCUCUAUGUAAUCCCGACGUGUGGGCCUUUCUUCCGUAUUUCCUGAUAACCCCUUGUAGAAAUAGACAAACACCAAAACUCGUGGAAUUCUGUCAGAUAAAACCCUAAGUCUAGAUGUUGAUUUUAUUUGGAUCCUUUUCUUUGUUUAUUUGAUAAUUAAAUUUGAUACUUAAGGACCGUCAACAAACUCCCCCAAGCUUACCUCUUGCUCGUCCCUGAGCAAGGAUAGACUCAGCAAUGGAUCAGAAGUUGUUGCAAUAUCUUAAAAAUUUGAUGGUACACAUGUUUUUAAAUAAGAUCUCAUCUCUGAGUUAGAGUAAACUGUCAAGAACUAAAACUUACUUACUUUACCUUUCACCAUGGGACUUGUAACCGUCACUUCUGUCUUGAGUAGUUAAAAGAUAGAACAGUUUAGCCAAGUGCCAUGUCUCUUAUUCUUGAUCACCUAUAGCUCUGGAGUUUUUGCAGAUUUUCAAAUAAAACUCAGAGAUUCCUUGUAUGACUCUCUAAAUCUCUCUUUUGUGGUAUUUCUGUAUCCUUACCAAGGCAGUGAUGGUAUAUGCCUUCUCUCAAGAUAUGUGGUAUUUGUGGUAUAAGGCAUAGUGACAUUGCCUUCUCUCUCACCCUACUCUAAUAAGGCUUUAAUAUCUGGAGCUCAUAGGUGGGAGAUAAAGUAUACAUACUUACAAGACAUUUAUUGUAUAGUCAAACCAUGGAUCCAAAUAAAUAAAUCAAUAAGCCAAAUCAAGAUGUGCAUGUGUGGUGAAUGAAUGGUGUAUGGUGAUGAUGGUGAUAACAAUAGUGAAAGUCUAAUUCUACUUUUGCUCUUUUGCGGGGAUACAUACCUUUCUUGCACUUUGAAGCUUUUUGAGGAGAAUGAGAUGCUCUUCUUUUUCUUUCCUCUCAGGUGGGUAUCUUGUACCCCUAAAUCUACUGUCGGACACUUGUCCAUUUUUACCUCUCGUCUUAUUUUUUCUUUCUUUCGAGGUUCCGGGCACUUGCCCCUUUUUAUUUCCUCGUUUAUUUUUUUCUUUUCUUCUCUUUUAUUUUUUUCAGAGCACUCAUCUCUUGAGAUAAUAUAGCAAGUGGUAGUAGCAAGAUAACUUGAGCAUUUAUUUCACAAGGGAAAACAGAAAUAUUUUUGGCUAUUCUCUCCCGGAUUAGGAGUAGAAUAUUUUUGGGUGGUUCUAGAGAUGGACAUGGAUGGAUAUAUGUGGAUGGUACUUCCGGAGUAGAAGUAGCAUAUAUGAGUGAACGUGCAAGUGAAUCUUGAUUUAACCACAUGACAAGCUCCUAAGGGUCUACACAGCUUGACCACACUCAAUGCUCAUAAGCAGUAAAUAGUAAAUGUGUGGCUCAAAGUCUAGCAAGCAUGUAUAUAUGGCUGUGGUAGGAUUUUAAACUCUCAUCAUACAGGAACUCAUCAUGCAAUAUUUUAAAGAUUUUUUAAAGAUAAAAUUCUCUAGAAUUCUAGCAUCUCUAGGAACAGAUAAACAGCAGCUCAACCUUCCCAUAUCAUAUCCGUUAACAACUUAGAUUUCAGAUCAAGUUUUCAUCCCACAAGUUUAGAUCUAGAGCAAGCUUUAAAUUAUAAUAGUUAUGUCUAAACUUGAGAGAGAACUUCAAAUUUGCAAAUUAGGCAGAGCAUCUAUUCAUCAUAUCCAUGCUAGAGUUUUAUUAUUAAGAUUCAGAUUAGCAUAGACACUUUAUUUAUUUAUUUAUUAAAUACACUAAGCAAAAGAGAUAUAUAAGCACAAAAUCUUUAUUCGGUUUUUCAUAGUUUAUGUAUUUUAAUAUUCUAACAUAAUAUAAGUAUAAAGAUAGGUAGAAAUACUUAGCGAGAUAAAUGGGGGUGCUGUCCCCCAAGCUGAAUUUUGACGUAAUUUCUCUUGAUGUAGCUAGCAGGUGGCAGAGGUGUAUUUGAAAGUCAGCAGCAUUCUGACAGCGAUUAGAAUGUCCUCCGUCUGCUAGUCUUCUUGAUUCUUAAAUCCGGUGGAGCUCAAAUAGACAACAAAGCUUGUGGAACUGGUUAAGUGUUAGCAUAAAUAUCUAGCCUUUAUCAUGUUGAGACUCUUUAACAAUUAUUACUCUCUAUAUUUUUUUUAUAUUUUCAUUUUAUAAAGCAGAAAAGAAAUAUUUAUUUUGUUUUUAUGCCACCACAGUGAAUGUACUUAUGGGUUUCAUGCCACAAGCAUAGUCAUAUGGGGCUUACUAUUUUUAACAUUUUUAUUUUCUUUUCAAGAUAGCAUGACUAACUAAAAAGCUAUUUAAGAAAAGUAAAUAAUUUAAGGAAAAAUGCAGAAAGGAUAAAUAUGGAUAAUUACCGAUUUUACCUUUCGGCGAGGGUUCAAUGAUUUAAGUCUUCUAAACAAGACUUCUCACCGUGUUCAUUCUUCAGGUGCGUCAUUUGAUUCAGGUGUGGACCUUGACGUCUGUACCUCUUCGUUUGCCCAGCAGUUCAAAGUGCGGCGUUGGCAGUAUCCUGCUCAGUGUGUUUGUGCUCGUAGUGUACCUGCUCAUAGAGACAAGGCAGAGAUCAAGUGCAUGGGCCCUGUUGGUGGAAAACACCAACAGAACCAAAAGUGUAUUUGUUCUUCUCUAACCUUAAGCAUGGUGAGCAAGACAAAGUUGAUGAAUGAUAAGUUCAUGAGUGUAGCACUUAUAACAUUUGUCAGAUCAGAUCGCUUCAACCUUAUGGAAAGAUAAUCUAUCUAUGUAUAUGUCUUUUUCUUUAUAUCUCUCAAAGAUUGAAUGUGUAACAUUUUAGCUCAUAUGAUUAGGAGUGUGGGUUCAUGGAGGUAGUACUAGGAAUAAGGAUUAAAGGACUAAACAUGUUGAAUCAGUUGGGUUGGUUAAUCUAGAGUUGUAAAUCAUACAUGUUUAUCUCUUUUAUUUAUAUGAACGCCAGAACCAAGGAGAAGCUUAUAAAAGUGAUAGUCAAGUACUUUAAGAUGUUACCUUGCUUGAAGAGUGAUGGUACAGUAUCACCUUGUGGAAGCUUUCCUUUCUUAGCGGUUGUGCAUCGUGUUUGUGGCACCCUCCGUGGAUCAUCUCUCUAUGAUGAAUGAGCUAUGUCCUUCUUGUGCAAAUUGUUAAACUUCAUGUGUCACUCUCUUCGUCUCUGAUGUGAGUUUAUCUCAGGACUUCCCAAAUCGAUAUUGAAAGUUUUUCUGCAGGGGUUAGUCCGACAGAAAUAUACCAAUGUCUACACAAGCAGUUUUUAGUUCAAUAACCGAACUAGACUCCAUGUCUAAUCAGAUUAAGGAAGGUUGUUUAACCUAAGCACCAUGCUUAAUUUAAAUGCCAAUGGAAGUAUGGCGAGUACUUCCAAACCAACACUUGCUAGUAAAUAGACAAAGGUAGCAUGACAGCAUUUAUAGAGAUCUACUCAAGUGGAGAUGAACUAGUGUGAUUAGUAUUUAACAAAUUGAGCAUGUCUCAAAGGUAGGGACAACCAGCAUAGCAACAUGGCAAAGGAUGUUUUUAUGUAAAGUACUCCCCCAAGCUUGAAUUUUGCAAAAUUCAAGUUUGGAUGAAUUUAAUUCAAUGUUGUAUGAUGAUUGGUUGGACAUUCCUUGUGCUUGUCAUUCAUCCGAUCUUCUUGCUCCAAUCCUAGAAAGGUUAGUGACAAGAAUACCCGAAGGAAUAUUUUUUUUACAAUUAUCCUUAUAUGCUCAAUACACCAGGUAAUGUUGUAAAUAAUUAAAAGCUCAUGUUAUGAUCUGAUCAGUGCUUAUUUUAAGUCACUAAGCUUGUCCUUGGGAAACCAUCAAUUUAUAUCGGCGAAGUGGUUUCCCUUCCAACGCUGACCUAUAUCAAGAUCAACUCAACGAGAUCUGCAAUAUUUAUUAUAGACAUAUGCAUCGACAACUGCCCUUUUAAAGUUUUUAUAAAUAGAAAGGAAGAGGGGGUUGGAGAUCUCAAAUGUGGUGAUUUUGGAGAGACCAGUAGAUUGGUAAGAUGUUGCAUAUGAGCAUGGAGUAAACGAAGUGGCUAUGAAAUAAAUUCUAUGCUCAUUAAUGUUAUUUUCAUCUCCAAUCUGAAUGUUCAGAGUUUCUCCUAGAUUGGUCUCACCUAUGUCCUCUUCUGUAGUUGGAUGAAUCUCAUUUUCAAAGGGAGUCAAGAACUCACCAUUUGAAAUUGAGCCAAAGUCAGAAUCCAUUAAGGCUUCUUCCUUAUCCAUCCAUUCUACACAUUCUAGCCAUUUGGAUCUUGUGAUUAGGAAAGGGGAGCUGUUAGAAUUUUCUAUAUUGCUUAGCUCUCCUUCACUUGGUAUGUCAUCCUCGACUUCUUCAUAAAAGGAACCAGGACAUUCUCUAAGAGAACCAUUAUUUCAAGGAUUUGAAUUAUCCCUGCUUGAAGGUCUCUUAUGGAACCAGAAGUCUAAACCAUCAGUAUCUGAAAGAUUAAAGAUCGGAAUUCCUUCCUCCCUUAGAGAAUUUUGGGGUAUUGAUGGUUUAGGAUCGAUAGCUAAAGUUUGGAAUUGAAGUGGUUGUGAUCUAGCUAUCGAAACUUCUUCUUCUUGUCUAGGAACUGGUUCGUCUCUUUCUCAGGGAUAUAAAAGCUAGGAGACUUUCCGCUCAUUAAAUCAAUCAAAUUCCAAGCUUCACUAGCGGAUAGGUGGUGGAAAGAUCCUCCAGAGGCCGCAUGAAGGGUUUGCUUAUCUUCCCUACUAAGGCCCUCAAAAAAGUGAAUUAGAAGAACUUCUUCUGGAAUAGAAAGCUCUGGGCCAGUGAGAGUAAGGUUAAUAAAGCGGUCCCAUGAUUUGCCAAGAGAUUCUUCUUCCAGUUGUCUAAAAGAAAGAAUCUUACGCUGAAGUUCCGCCACUUUAGAGAUUGGAAAAUAUUUUAAAAGAAAACUAUUAUGUAACUCCUUCCAAUCUCCAUGAACACUCCUUACUUUGAGUUUGUACCAAUGUCUAGCUUUUUGUGUUAAAGAGAACGGAAAAAGCUUCCAUUUAAGGGUCUCAUCGGACAUGCCUUCUAUGCAAAGGAGGUCACAGACUCUAUAAAACUCUCUUAGGUGUGUGUAUGGGUUUUCCUCACCUUCUCCUGAGAAAGGUUGUUUUUGAACAAGUUCUAUGUAUUCGGGGUCUAUCUCAAAACUAGAUGCUAUGAUAGGCUUUGAAGAUUUUGGUGGUUCGAGAUGUGUGCCCGUAGGUCUAUGAAAUUCAUAGAUAGACAUGUUUGAAUUCAUGAUAGACCAGAAAUCAAGGAUUAGAUAAGAAGAAAGAAUAGCAGAGAUAAGGCAAAGGAUAAAAGGAAUUUUUUUUUAAUUUUUUUUAGAAAAUGAUUAAGCUAGUUCGUAGUCAACUCAGCAACCGUCUCCCCGGCAAUGGCGCCAAAAAUGCUUGUUGACACUUGCUAACACCACUUGAAUACUAGGUUGUCAUCCCCAGCAUGGCACUAGAGUGUACUAUGGUAUUUAUACGCACACAGAUAAUCCGCAACCGCACGGAUACCGUUGAAGCUUUUACCCGGUUAAAGGUUUUAUCGUAUCCACAGGGAAACGGGAGAACUGAUCUACGCUCUAACUUAACCAAGAUAAGUAAAUAGGUGUAAAUAGGAAAGAUGGUAGAAUCGAAUAAGAACAAUAUCAAAGGUAAGAUAACAGUGAGUGAUAAUAUGGGAAUAGAGAGUAGAGCAAUCUAGUAUAUGGGCGAUGGUAGCAGAAUAGAGAGGAUAACUAUAGUUUCUCUACUUCAAAGGGGUAUGUCUAUGUCUGGGACAAACCACGUGAUAAGAUUACACCACAAAGGAUGCUUAUCCAUAGGCCGAUAAACCCUACCCAUCCUGCUAACGAGAGGUGGACUACAGAGGACCAACGUAACUGUCACCUACGCGGCCUACCACACAAUCCAGCUAGACAGGGGAUAUCCACAAGUAAUCUAGAUCUAAGCACCUCGCUUACACCUAUACUACAACUCUAACCUAUAGCGUCCUAUAGAUUAGAAGUACUCAAAAGAGUUGUGAACCAGAACAUACAUGAUUAGUAAUUGCAUAAUGAAUUAGAAGUAGAUUACCAGAGUCAUCCCAUGAGCAAGCUUGAUUAGAGCUUGAUCAUGACGAAGUACAACCGGAGGAAGAACCGACAUGCCGGCCUCUCCUCUAAUCCUCCUUCGCUCUCCAUCUCGCUACUAUCUAGAUCUACUCUAGUUUAGAGAAGAGAGGAGAGCUCUCAUCUCUAAACCCUAGCUUUUGCUCUGUCUAUGAAUAAUGAAUAAUGAUCAAGGGGUGCCUCCUCCAGGGGCUAGGGGGUCUGGUUAUAUAGUCCCCUCAAGUGAACCUGGGCCGUCGAAUCAAACCGACAUUGAUUGAAUGGUUAUUCUUGAUCCUUUAGGUCGGUGGAGAUCUCCCGAGAGAAAGAGUCCUGAUUGGGCUCCAACAGAGGGCGGGCGCCCUGCCUCUGGCCCCUCUCGGCCUCCGCUUCCUUUCCGUGGCUUCUGGAGUCUUCUAGAUGUAAGAUAAUUGCGCGGCACGUUAAUAUCUCUAUGUAAUCCCGACGUAUGGGCUUUUCUUCCAUAUUUCCUGAUAACCCCUUGCAGAAAUAGAUAAACACCAAAACUCGUGGAAUUCUGUUAGAUAAAACCCUAAGUCUAGAUGUUGAUUUCAUUUGGAUCCUUUUCUUUGUUUAUUUGAUAAUUAAAUUUGAUACUUAAGGACCGUCAACACUCGGGCUGGCAGGAGAUGUAUGGAGCAGGAGGCUCCAGGGGACAGCAUUCACACGAGGCAGGAGGAUCUGGGCAACCACAUCAGGAGCACACCCUAGAUGAAGAAGACAUGCCACCUCCUAUUCGCCCUCAGGUCACCCUAGACUCCCUCAACACUCGCAUGGGUCGACUGGAGCUCCAGCAAUGAUAGAUCCAGGGUACGCUGAAUGCCCACAUCCAGACUUCCACCCAGUGGCAUCAGCAAACCCAGCAGAGCUUCGUGGACAUGGAGGAUGCAAACUGUCGAUGGCACGAGGAGCAGUUGGCAUUGCUACGGUCUAUUGGAUUUUUCCAGGGACCACAGCAAUAAGCUAGCUUGGGGGAGAACCCCCAUAGAGGUAACAUGUAUCUAAUUUUCUUGCACUUCAAUUUUAGUAUUUAAUUUUCAGCACUCUUUUCUUUAUAUAUAUAAAAAAAUCCUCUCUCAUAUGUGUUUUAUUAUGCUAGUUGCUCUUCUGCUGAAAUGAUGAAUAGUUGCUCUGUCUAUAAUUCUUUAGUGUCUAAGUUAUAACUUAGUCUUCAUCAAGAUUUAAGUUUGUUGGCUAAAAAUGUCCUAUUAUGAAAACUUGAAAUCUUGUGGGUUGCGAAUGCAUGAUCCUUUUCUAAGUUGUUGUGAGACAUGAUAUGGUACAAAUAGAUUUUGCUAUGACUUUGUCUUAAGAGAAACUUGACAUCCGGAGUUUUCUUUUCAAAAAUUUAAAACAAAGGGUUCCUCAAUGAUUAUGAAAUACCUACCAAGGCCAGAUGACUUGUUACUCAGUUCUUAAAACCUUUAGUCAUAUGCGGCUUGCGGAACUUUGAGUCGGGUCAAAUCUCUGAGAUCCUAGAGUGAGAUUAUGGUCAUGCACCCAUGAUUGAGAUUCACUUACACCCACCAAAUAAAGCCAACUCUUACACUGAGAAGUCACGCACAACAUGCACCCUUCCAUCCACCAAUUUUUUUUUGCCAACUCUUAUCCUGAGAGUUGUGCCUUAGUUUUCCACCAAAUAAAAAUGCAAACUCUCAUCUUGAGAUUUGCACAUCCCCGAAUUCACUCCUUACUUUUUGUCCUCAUGACAUCUCUUUAAAUUUCUCUGAUUCCAUUCGUCAAGACAUAUGGGCUAUAGUUGAAAAAAAAUAAAUAUCCAAAGGGAAAAGCCAAAAAGGCAUAGACAGGAAAGAAAGAAAAAAAAAUCAAAAGUCCCCGUCAUGAAAAAAAAUUUAUUAAGAGAUAGAGCCCAUAUGUUUUCGUCUUCCUCUCUCUCUUAUCCUCCAAAUAAAAGAGAGUCAUGAUGCAAAAGAGUGACCAAAAAUAUUUAGAAUUAGGAUUUUCACCAAUUCCUCAUACUCCACACACUUGCACAUCUCAAUCAAGGUGUAUGAUUUGUAUCUCCUCAUGGUCCGGGCUUUGACUCAGCAAUACAAGUGUCGUAAGUACGCCCACCUUUAUACCUGCCCAAAACUCCACUCUCAGCCUUAGUGGUAAGGUUUAAAGGCAAUCACAUAAUGCCUUUGGUAAGGAUUUCAUACACAUUGAGCGAUUGAGAGAAUCAUUCGAGGAACUCAUUUAUUUUGCAAAACUUAUAAAAAACAUCCAGAUUGAUAGUCUACCAAAAGAUGAAUGAUUGGUGAGUCUGUUACAACUGUUCUAUCUUGCAACCACCCAAGAAUUUGGAAAAGCUAAAAGCCCCAUGGGAAAUUAAGGUAAAGAGUGGAUAUUAUGCCAACUUAUCUAAAUUGCGAAUGAAUGCUUUGUUAUAGGCAUGACACUCCUGAAUUAUAUCGGCAUAGUAGCAACUCCUGAUCAACAACCAUACUUUAUUAUUUGCUCGGGACGAGCAAAGGUUAAGCUUGGGGGUCUUGUUGGCAGUCACUAUGUAGGAUUUUAUACUGCGAACUUAGACUAAAAAGAAGAGGAAUAAACAUAUUUAAAUCACAUAUGCGUUUGCUAUUGACAUAGUUCCACUUGUACCAUGGUAUUUUGUUUUGCAGGAUUUAUAAUGUGACAAGUGGAAGAAAACAAUAAAAUAAAGAAAGCGCAAAAGAUGAAUUCACAAGUACACAAUCAAAAAUAAAUAAGAAGCCCACCUUCAACAUCGAACUGGACCCAAUCGUAACCGAAGCAGCAAAGGAGGUCCAGCAGGGAGGCAGCCACGCGAAGGCGGUGGCCAGGUGGGGCCCACCAGGUUGCGGGCGCAACCUUGGUGGCGGCAAACCGGCCACGCCUUUCUCUGGCGGUUGCAUGCCGCCAUGCAAAGGAUAGUUUCACCUACUACCAUAUUUAGAUCCCCCGAACCGUCCUAGUUGGGCUAUAAAUAGAUGGCUCCCCCUCAUUUGUAAAACACACAUCAUUUGGAGUCUACAUUUCCUCACACCUCUCACUUGUAUCUUUAGUAUUAGACUAGUAGUAGAGUAAGUGUUGACGGUCCUUAAUGCUCAUAUUUAACCAUCAAUUAAUCAUGGAAAAGGAUCCAAAUGCAACCAACACCCAGACUUAGGGUUUUAUCUGACAGAAUUCCACGAGUUUUGGUGUUUGUCUAUUUCUGCAGAGGGUUAUCAGGAAAUACGGAAGAAAGGCCCACACGUCGGGAUUACAUAGAGAUAUUAACGUGCCGCGCAAUUUUCUAUCAUCUAGAAGACUCCAGAAGCCACAGGAACGAACGGGAGGCCGAGCGGGCCCGGAGGCAGGGCGCCCGCCCUACCCCCCUGGGCGCCCGCCCUCCUCUGCUGGCCAAUCAGCACGAGUCUCGGGGAUUAUGCCCCACCGACUCUAAGGAUCGAGGAAAAUCACACGAUGAAGGUCGGUUUGAUCGGAUGGUGGAGAAUAACGUGGAAAUUCCUUGGGAGCUACUCUUCCUAGAUUUCUUGGGGGCUACUCUUCCUAGAUUUCUUGGGGGCUACUCUUCCUGGACUAUAUAAGCAGACCCCCACCAGCCCCUGGAGGCAUACCUCUUCUACAGAAUCAAAGCUAGGGUUUCAAUUCUUCAUCCAAGUAGAGAGGAUCCCUCUAGUUCUUCUAGUUCUACCUCUAGUUCAUCUAGUUCUAGUUCUAGUUCAUCUAGAUCUAGUUCUAGUUCCUCUAGUUCUAGUUCUAGUUAGUUCUAGUUGUAAUCUAGAAAAUAGGGAGAGAGAACAGGAGAGUGGAGGAGGAGGAGCCGCAUCUGUUGGAUCUUCCUCAACAUUGUACUUUUGCAGCAACUGGUUCGUUCUUCAUCGUUCUCCAGGUUCUUCAAUUCAUAAUCCUGAGUUCUUUAAUUACUUUUAUUUACAUUCAAGUUAUUUAUUGGAUUCCCGCUUGCAUCAAGUGCUCUAAUCUUUGCAACAUUAGAGUAGUAAUUAAUAGAUUAGACAUGGUGUUUAGUCUUGCAAUUACCUGGAAUUGCACCCAAUCCUGCGGAUUGUUGUGGUAGCCUUAGGGUAGUGACAGCCCUAACGGUCGACGUAUUCCACCUCGUUCGGAUCGGUGUUUGUAGGACCGUAGUCAGACCUUCCUAGCCCCCUUCUCAUCUCUUUCUGUGGUUAGUGUUCUGAUGUCCCGAUAUAAAUAAUCUUGAAGUAAUUCUUGAUUCUUAGAUUAACUAGAGAACUCUCAGGAAACUUCCUCUCUUCCCACCAAAAAUAAUUAUAUAGUUAUCCUUGGGCGAUCUUGAAUCUUAAUUAGUACACUCACGUUCCCUGUGGAAAAUCGAUACUCUGGAAUACUCCCGGGUGAAAGCUACAUCGGUAUCCGUGCGCUUGCGGAUUUUUCUGUUUGCGUUUAAAAUACCCAACAAGCUUUCUGGCGCCGUUGCGAGUGAACGGUAGCUGUGCUAGUUUCGAACCAAGUCGUCUGUGUAUCCUUUUUCUUUUCCUUUUUUACCACACUCACCUUACCAUUUUCACCACACCACAUGGAUUUCACUCCUAUCUAUAAAUUCUUUGCUCCAAAGGGCGAGUUAUUAGAGCCACCACCAUCAUCACAUCCAAUUCUUACAGAUGGCUACGACCUCGGACCUGAUCUAAUAGCCAUGAUUCAGGAGCAACCCUUCUCUGGGCAAGUAGAUGAAGAUCCAUACACCCACCUUAGAUAAUUCGAGCAGUUAUGCUCUUGCCGAUCUAUUUCCGGCAUGACACAAGAAACCCUUAAAUGGAAAUUAUUUCCGUUCUCCCUUCUGGGAAGAGCAAAAAAGUGGUAUGCUCAUUCUGUAGGAGGCGUUAAUGGAAGUUGGGAUGAACUUCGGGGCAACUUUUGUCUCGCUUUCUUCCCACUUUUUCGAAUUGCUGACCUUAGAAUCGAAAUUCUUACAUUCAAACAAAGAGAGAAGGAAACUUUAGGAGCAGCUUGGGCUAGGUUCACAAGCCUUACCAAUUCCGGUCCAAACCUUUCCCUGCCUAACCAUGUACUGUACUACCACUUUUAUCGUGGUCUAAACAAGGAAGCUGCUCUUCACCUUGACAUUGCUUCAGGAGGCUCAUUCACACACAAACUCACAGAUGAGGGGAGAGCUAUCCUAGAAAGAAUCCUUGACAAUACCCCUUACAUAGGCAUUUAUGAUGAGUUUCCUGAAGAAGAAAAAGAAGUCGAGCCUGAUCCUAAACCAAAAGAUGAGGGACUUGCAACCGAGUUAGAAAUUCCACCUGACCCAUCCAUUAAUUUGGUUGUAGAGAAACCUCUUGAUAAAGGAAUGCAAAACCAACUAAGGGAUGAUGAACCACCACCUUUAGAGCAUCCCUUUGAAUUCGAGGAAGAUCUUUUUGAAGAUGAUGGAAACACCUCGAAUUUUCCUAUCCAAACACGACCUCUAGUAAGGACCACUCAAUCUGUUCUAAGAGUAGAAUCUGUUGACAUAGAACACAUCAAAAGCCUUUCGGCUAUUCUGAGUUAUGAAUGGCUAAUAGAAGCAGAGCUGUCCCCUGAGGUAGCUCGAAUCAUCACUCCUUCAACCAUUCUUCUGUGCCAAAUUAGAAGGUCCCCUAGGAAGGUCCACUACAGUCCAUAUGUUGGGAUAAAUGUUAUUUCCAAGGAGUUAGCUGACACUCUUUAUCCCAACGAGUCCAUAACCCCGUCUCAAAAACUUUUACAAAGUCCAUCUGGAUUAAUUCUAGAAAGCCAUGGGGUAUUAAGGGCAGUUUCUGUUAGAAUCAAGGACUCUGGAAUAUGUCUAGACUUUCACAUUUUUGACAUACCAGAGAUUCCUCUCUUGAUUGGCAGACCAUCAUGAAACUUCUACAAGAACAAACACAACAAGGUCAUUUAGACUUCAAGGUUGGGAAUUCCACUAUUGUUGUUCCUCUUGCUAGAUCAAUUAACACGAUAGUGGAACCCAAACUUGACCCAGAUCCUAUUGAGGAGAUCUUAAUGGUGACUCAAGAGGAGAUGACCCAACCAUUCUUUAAUCAUGAACACUUUGUUCAAGAAGAAGAAGAGUUGGUAGAACCCGUUGAGCUAGAUAAAAAUGAACAACCUUCACCUCCUUCAAUAGAAUUAAAACCUCUUCCUUCUGGCCUUAGAUAUGUCUUCUUGCACAAUAACCCAAAAACUCCAGUAAUUAUCAGUGACAAGCUUUCCGAUUAUGAAACACAACAACUUGUCACUGUUCUUGAAAGACAUAGAUCAGCAUUUGGCUACUCUCUCGAAGACCUCACGGGCAUUAGUCCCAUUCUCUGCACUCAUCGUAUCCCUAUUGAUCCUAAUUUUACACCUUCAAGGGAGCCACAACGGAGACUUAACAAUGCUAUGCGAGAGGUUGUUAAGAAAGAGGUCCUCAAACUCUAUCGUGCUGGGAUUAUUUAUCCUGUGCCACAUAGUGAGUGGGUUAGCCCUGUCCAAGUAGUGCCAAAGAAAGGAGGAAUGACGGUCGUUAGGAAUGAGAAGAAUGAACUCAUCCCUCAACGAAUUGUCACUGGGUGGCGUAUGUGUAUUGACUAUCGAAAACUCAAUAAGGCUACAAAGAAAGAUCAUUUUCCGUUACCCUUCAUUGAUGAAAUGUUGGAACGGCUUGCAAACCACUCAUUCUUUUGUUUCCUUGAUGGUUAUUCUGGAUAUCACCAAAUUCCAAUCCACCCAGAUGACCAAGAAAAGACUACCUUUACAUGCCCAUAUGGAACCUAUGCAUACCGAUGAAUGUCGUUCGGAUUAUGCAAUGCUCCAGCUUCUUUCCAACGGUGCAUGAUGUCUAUUUUCUCAGACAUGAUUGAGAAGAUCAUGGAGGUUUUCAUGGAUAAUUUUACCGUCUAUGGUAAAACCUUCGAUCAUUGUUUGGAGAAUUUAGAUAGAGUCUUGCAGCGAUGUGAAGAAAAACACUUAAUCCUGAUCUGGGAGAAAUGUCAUUUUAUGGUUCAGGAAGGAAUAGUGCUAGGACAUAAAGUGUCCGAACGUGGUAUAGAGGUGGACAAAGCAAAGAUUGAAGUUAUUAAAAAACUUCCACCUCCCACAAAUGUGAAAGGAAUCCGUAGCUUUUUGGGACAUGUAGGGUUCUAUAGACGCUUUAUCAAGAAUUUCUCUCAAAUUGCUAGACCCCUAACUAGUCUCCUAGCUAAGGAUGCACCUUUCAUCUUUAGUGAUGAGUGUCAUGAAUCUUUUCAAAUUCUUAAGAAAGCACUCAACUCAGCCCCGAUUAUCCAACCACCUGAUUGGAAUCUUCCUUUUGAGAUCAUGUGUGAUGCUAGCGAUUUUGCGGUUGGUGCCGUUUUAGGACAAACCAAGGAUAAAAUGCAUUAUGCCAUAUCCUACGCUAGCAAAACCUUGUCUGGACCACAGCUCAAUUACACUACAACUGAAAAAGAGCUUUUAGCUGUUGUCUUUGCUAUAGACAAGUUUAGAUCUUACUUAGUGGGGGCGAAGAUAAUCAUCUAUUCAGACCAUGCUGCUCUCAAGUACCUCCUCAAUAAGAAAGAUGCUAAGCCUCGUCUAAUUCGAUGGAUUCUUCUACUCCAGGACUUUGACAUAGAAAUCCGAGAUAGGAAGGGAGUAGAGAAUUCCGUAGCCGACCACUUGUCUAGGCUUCAAUAUAAGGAAACACAUGAUGAGCUUCCCAUAAAUGACUACCUAAGGGAUGACACCCUACUUAAGAUAACACAUGCAGAUCCAUGGUACGCAGACAUCGUAAACUUUAUAGUAAAAGGCUAUGUCCCACCUGGUGCAAACAAAAGGAAGUUGCUUCAUGAUAGUCGUUUCCACCUUUGGGAUGAGCCAUAUCUUUUCCGAGUCUGUGCUGAUGGAGUCUUGAGAAGGUGUGUUCCUAUGGCUGAGGCUACUCAAAUUAUGGAAAGAUGUCAUGCCUCGCCAUAUGGAGGACACUAUGGAGCAUUCCGGACACAUGCUAAAAUUUGGCAAAGUGGCUUUUUCUGGCCAACGAUGUAUGAAGAUACAAAGGACUUUGUUAGGAGAUGCCACCGAUGUCAAAAACAUGGGAAUAUCAACUCACGAAAUGAAAUGCCUCUCACAAAUAAUCUUCAAGUAGAACUUUUCGAUGUAUGGGGCAUUGAUUUCAUGGGACCAUUCCCUAUGUCUGGGAAUUGCGAGUAUAUCUUAGUAGCUGUGGACUAUGUAUCCAAAUGGGUAGAAGCCCUACCUUGUCGAUCAGCUGAUUCAAAACAUGCCAAGAGAAUGUUCCAUGAAGUAAUCUUUCCUCGCUUUGGUAUACCCCGGAUAGUUAUAAGCGAUGGAGGUUCCCACUUCAUCGACAAAAUCUUCCGGAAGUACCUAGCCGAUCAUGGAGUUCGACACAACGUCGCAACACCAUACCAUCCUCAGACUAGCGGUCAAGCCGAAACAUCUAACAAACAAAUCAAAAAUAUUUUACAAAAGACUGUAGAUGAGAUGGGUAAGGGGUGGAAGGACAAACUUUCUGAUGCACUUUGGGCAUAUAGAACUGCAUUCAAAACACCCAUAGGCAUGUCACCUUAUCAACUUGUAUAUGGAAAAACUUGUCACUUGCCUGUGGAAGUAGAGUUUAAGGCUCAUUGGGCACUCAAGAAAUGGAACAUGGAUCUCCACCUCGCUAGCAAGAAUCGUCUGAUGCAACAAUCUGAGCUAGAAGAAUGGAGAGAGAAAGCCUACCACAAUUCAAGGAUUUAUAAAGAGAGAACAAAACGAUGGCAUGAUAAGAGAAUCAAGCACAAGGAGUUUAAGCCUGGAGAUAAGGUUCUACUAUUCAAUUCAAGAGUUAAGCUCUUUGGGCAUGGUAAGCUACGAAGUAAGUGGGAUGGACCAUACAAGGUUAUUGACACUUCAACUCAUGGAGCCAUUACCAUCCAAGACGACAUAGGUAACACUUUUAAGGUAAAUGGUCAACGCUUGAAAAUCUAUCUCGAGCCACAAAACAACCUGGUAGAGGAACUUGAUGUGAUUGAGUUCAUAGAAUUCUCAUAUUAAGCUCUCAUAAGCUCUAGACAAUUACCUAACCCUUAACAUGCUCCACAAGUUUUGUUGUCUAUUUGGGUUGUGCAGGAUUUUGAGGCUUAAGAAGAGUGAGAUUGAACAUGUAGGCCACAAGAGUGAACGACUAUGUCAACAUCCACCUUGGGGGAGGCACCCCCACGUGUAUCUAGAUAAGUAUUACUUUUCUUUCUUGGUUUUAUUUACUAGUAUUCAUAAAUAAAUAAAAAUGCAUAACCAUGAAACCAAACAAAGUUUUUCUUUUGAGUAAUAUACAAUAGUUUUGUGUAAUUCUAAGUUUUAAAUAAAAAUAAAAAGGUUUGAUUCAAGUCUAGGUAAUUGACAAACAUGAUAUGAGAAGGUCUGAGCUACUAUUUAACUUGUUCCAAGUUUUGCUAGAGUUCUGGAGAUUUUAUCUUUUGAAAAUCUAAAAAUUCAUAAAAAAAAUAUAUGAGAUCAUAAUACCUAGAGUCUUAUAAGAUAUAAAUAUUAAAACUGUGGGCACUUGCUUUGUUCAAGCCAUUGUUAAUUCUUGUAGUUUUGGUUGAGAGAAUUAUCAUGCUCCCAAGAUCAAGAUCUUUUUGUUUUAAAAAUAUAAAAGAUUCACUCUUCCGAAGUAUUAUUGCGUUAGAGGAAUGGGACUAUGUAAAAAUUUGAUUCAAAAGAAAAAAAAGAGUGAGACGAGAGGUAAAAAUGGACAAGUGUCCGAAGUAGAAUUAGGGGUACAAAGAUACCCACCUGAGUGGAAAAAAUGGACAUGUGUCCGACAGUAGAAUUAGGGGUACUUGCUGCCCACUUGAAACAAAAAAAAGAAAGAGACUAAAAAAAGAGAAAAAAAAAUGAUAGCCCAUGGUUCCUCUAAUAAGCAAUAUGCCAGUAAGAGAUGACAAACUUUUCAAAAAGAUCAAAGGUCUUGAUCUAGGAGUAUGACAUUCGUCUCCCUUGCUCCAAGCAUUGACAUAGCAAAAUGCAAAGUAAGUAUGCUAAAAUUUUUAAAGCUCUACUUAUAUAUCUUUCGAGAAGAAGGCAAAUGCUUCAGUUUUAUUUUGGAAACUUACAAACAACUCCAGAACAAAGGUAAGACAGAAGAACUUGAGACAUAGUGCUUGACUUGAUCGUUCUGUUUUUCAAUCACUUAAGACCUUAGUGAUAAAUUAAAAACCCUGUAGUAAGAGGCAUAAAAGUAACCCGUGUUUUCUUGUUGAUUUUAGCUUUGCUCAGGGACGAGCAAAGGUUAAGCUUGGGGGAGCUUGUUGACGGUCCUUAAUGCUCAUAUUUAACCAUCAAUUAAUCAUGGAAAAGGAUCCAAAUGCAACCAACACCCCGACUUAGGGUUUUAUCUGACAGAAUUCCACGAGUUUUGGUGUUUGUCUAUUUCUGCAGGGGGUUAUGAGGAAAUACGGAAGAAAGGCCCACACGUCGGGAUUACAUAGAGAUAUUAACGUGCCGCGCAAUUUUCUAUCAUCUAGAAGACUCCAGAAGCCACGGGAACGAACGGGAGGCCGAGCGGGCCCGGAGGCAGGGCGCCCGCCCUACCCCCCUGGGCGCCCGCCCUCCUCUGCUGGCCAAUCAGCACGAGUCUCGGGGAUUAUGCCCCACCGACUCUAAGGAUCCAGGAAAAUCACACGAUGAAGGUCGGUUUGAUCGGAUGGUGGAGAAUAACGUGGAAAUUCCUUGGGAGCUACUCUUCCUAGAUUUCUUGGGGGCUACUCUUCCUAGAUUUCUUGGGGGCUACUCUUCCUGGACUAUAUAAGCAGACCCCCACCAGCCCCUGGAGCCAUACCUCUUCUACAGAAUCAAAGCUAGGGUUUCAAUUCUUCAUCCAAGUAGAGAGGAUCCCUCUAGUUCUUCUAGUUCUACCUCUAGUUCAUCUAGUUCUAGUUCUAGUUCAUCUAGAUCUAGUUCUAGUUCCUCUAGUUCUAGUUCUAGUUAGUUCUAGUUGUAAUCUAGAAAAUAGGGAGAGAGAAGAGGAGAGUGGAGGAGGAGGAGCCGGAUCUGUCGGAUCUUAAUCAACAUUGUACUUUUGCAGCAACUGGUUCGUUCUUCAUCGUUCUCCAGGUUCUUCAAUUCAUAAUCCUGAGUUCUUUAAUUACUUUUAUUUACAUUCAAGUUAUUUAUUGGAUUCCCGCUUGCAUCAAGUGCUCUAAUCUUUGCAACAUUAGAGUAAUAAUUAAUAGAUUAGACGUGGUGUUUAGUCUUGCAAUUACCUGGAAUUGCACCCAAUCCUGCGGAUUGUUGUGGUAGCCUUAGGGUAGUGACAGCCCUAACGGUCGACGUAUUCCACCUCGUUCGGAUCGGUGCUUGUAGGACCGUAGUCAGACCUUCCUAGCCCCCUUCUCAUCUCUUUCUGUGGUUAGUGUUCUGAUGUCCCGAUAUAAAUAAUCUUGAAGUAAUUCUUGAUUCUUAGAUCAACUAGAGAACUCUCAGGAAACUUCCUCUCUUCCCACCAAAAAUAAUUAUAUAGUUAUCCUUGGGCGAUCUUGAAUCUUAAUUAGUACACUCACGUUCCCUGUGGAAAAUCGAUACUCUGGAAUACUCCCGGGUGAAAGCUACAUCGGUAUCCGUGCGCUUGCGGAUUUUUCUGUUUGCGUUUAAAGUACCCAACAGUAAGGCAAGAGCUACCAAGGAGAGCAUGUCUCCUAGGAAGAAAGGAUCCUCUUGGUAUGAAUCAUAAUCAGUGUUCUUCCAUGAGCAAGUUCUUGUUAUCUUUAUAUAAUUGUGCUUAUGAACUAGAGUAUAGUUAUGUCUAUAUCAUGUUCAUAGUAUAUGAACUAGUUCUUAGUUCUUGUGCUAUGUUCUUGAUAUAUUCAUCCCUGUUCUUCAUCGUUCAUCUAACUUAUAUGAAUAGAAGUAGAAUUAGGGAUGAGAUGAUGGUUCACUGGGCCAUUCCGGUUGCUCUUAACCUAGCUUGUCAAUCUGAAGGGUUAGGGCCCGCAGGGGUUAAGAGUUAUUUCCAAAUACGUGAACAUGGUGUUCAGGUAUGCGGAGAUCAGUGGAUAUGCGGGUAUCCCAUGGGCAGAGGGGUAGGUGGCCGGGUAGUGACAGCCCUGUCAUCCUUCGUAUUCCCCCACGUUUGGAUAUUCGGUAGGAGUCAUGUAAAGUCUCUAUUUGCUGGCGGACCAGCUAUGGGGAUCUCCCUAUCAUCUCAACUCUGAUCCUAUCUCUAGACUUGCUAGUUAGAUGACUUACUAACAGUUCUUAGCAUAGUUAUAUACGAACCAUGCCUGCUCAGUAGUUAUAUUCUUUUAUUCUUUAUUUUAUCUUUUAUCCUUGAGGAUGACCCAGAUGUGUGUCCACUAUCUCCAAAUAUCAUAUCUUACCCCUGUUUACUCUAUGCCUACCAUGCAUUUUAAUAAGUAAUCAUGUUAUAACCAUGCUAGAUAUAAAUGCCUUCCUACAGGAAUUAUAAAUACGACACCCAUUUAUGGGUUGAAAUGCUACAAUGAUAGUUCUGUGCGCUUGCAGAGUUAUUCUUAUUUCGUACUGAGCUAUCGAUUGGCGUACCUAAGCACCUUUACUUAAGAUUGUAAUCCUUGUGCACUUACCCGGCGCCGGGCCACAACUUUGCAUAUCGUAAGUAAGGAUGGUUAGGAAGGCCAAUCUGGCAUUACUAAUCAUCAGUACCAGACUGCACUGCCUAGGCCCGCGCCGUAAAGAGCCUUGGGUUAUCAUUCUAAAGUGAUGGUGGUUACGAUAUGCCAAGAACGUUUCUAGUGUUAUCGUUAGGGAUGGACUCAAACUCUAUCUUUAGUGGUUUCGCUAAGAAACGCCAAUAGGAGGCGAGGACCAAGGAAGCGUUGCGCUGCCCUGACCAUCACCCCUUCAACAUGAGGAGGCACUAUGCUGCCACCAUGCGCUAUAGGUCUCUGCCAUGCCAUCCCUUUAACAACCUCUUGCGUAUAGUGACUCCUCGUGGCAGUGAUUCCAUAGGCCACCACUGCCUCGCUUCACCUCCGCCAACCUUCCACAGUGAUGCUCUAUGUUGCAGUCACCGUUGUUGGGUACUCUUAACAUCAUUACCAAAAGUAGACUAAGUUCUCUAAAUCUAGUAACGGUGCCAAAAAUGCCAAACCUAUCCCUCACACCACUUAAGCCAAGUUGUCAUCCCCAGCAUGAUAUAAGAGAUGCGGUAUUGAAAUAUGCAAUUGCUCUUCUAAAUAAAUAAUGAAUGGGAUCUGCAAGCGCACAGAUUAAUACCGAUGCAGCAUUUUAACCGAGAAGUAUUCCAGGUAUCGUUAUUUAUAUUUUUACCACUGGGAAGGGAUUAGCAAUCAUCACUAUUGAUUACAGAAUAGAAUAUGAGAUUGAGCAUCUAUCAUUGCAUGUAUAAUUGAGAACAUUAUAUCUAACUUCUCAUACAGGGAUAAGUGUCACAUAAAAGAUAUAUGAAAUAAUAAUAGUGACAAGGAUAACUAAUCUGAUCUAGCCACAUAAUAAAUAUGAUAAGCACCUCAAUUAGAUACUCUAGAAAGUCAUUAGCAUGGUAUUAGAACGAACUACAAGAAUAUUCCCUAAGUUAUUCUCAACUAUAUAGUCUAGCAUAUCAUAGUUAGUGCAAGCAUACUUAGCAAUCAUUGCGAGAUAAGACUACGCCCAUGCAUAGUGAUAUUAGUAAGGAAUAUGAGAAACAUAGCAAUCACUCCCCUGUAAUAAUGUUGCUCUGCCAGCCCAAUACACGAGAGGGGGACUAUAUAAUAAUCAAUGAAGCUGUCACUAUCACGAACGACCCCACGAUCUGGCAUAUUGGGUACAAUCGUAGAUAAAUACGGUAUAAGCACCACGCCUACAUAAUAUCUAUCAUUUACCCAUGGAUCCGAUGGAUAAACGCUAUACGAUCCUAAGCAUGUAUAUAGAUCCAAUCUAACUAAGCCAAGUACAUAACUAUGAUAAACUAAGAACAAUAUUAUCUUGAAUAUAAGCAAGUAGAGCAAAGUCAUAAGCAAUAUAUUGAAGUAGAACAAAGUCAUAUUCAUAAUAUUGAAGAACAAAGAUAAUUAGAAUGCAAUUAGAAGCACAAUUAGAGAAUUACCAAGAAUCCUCUUGAUAGAUCCGGAAACCAAUCGAAGAUUGACUCCUAGUUAUAAUCCUAUGUAGCUAUGCUAAUCUAGAUAUCUAAUUGAUGUGGUGGCUCUAAUCUUGAUCAGAGGCUUCUUCUCCCUUGAGGAAUAAUGAAUUAGGGUUGAGAGGCUCUCUCCUCCAGGGGCCAGGGGGUCUGGUUUUAUAGUCCCUUCAAGUGAAUAUGGGCCAUUGGAUCAAACCGACAUAGAUUGUAUGGUUUAGAUUCAUCCUUUAGGUCGGUGGAGAUCUCCCGCGAAGCAGAGUCCUGAUUGGACUCAAAGGCAGGGCGGGCGCCCUGACCAACUGGGCGGGCGCCCAGGGUCAGGCCCCGUUUCGCCUCCGCUUCGGUCUCGUGGCUUCUAGAGUCUUCUAGAUGUAAGAUAAUUGCGCGGCAGGUUAAUAUCUCUAUGUAAUCCCGACGUGUGGGCCUUUCUUCCGUAUUUCCUGAUAACCCUCUGCAGAAAUAGACAAACACCAAAACUCGUGGAAUUCUGUCAGAUAAAACCCUAAGUCUAGAUGUUGAUUUCAUUUGGAUCCUUUUCUUUAUUUAUUUGAUAAUUAAAUUUGAUACUUAAGGACCGUCAACAAACUCCCCCAAGCUUACCUCUUGCUCGUCCCUGAGCAAAGAUAGACUCAGCUAUGGAUCAUAAGUUAUUGCAAUAUAUUUAAAAAUUGACGGUAUACAUGCUUUUUAAAUAAGAUCUCAUCUCUAAGUUAGAGUAAACUGUCAAGACUUAAAACUUACUUACUUUACCUUCACCAUGGGACUUGUAACUGUCACUUCUAUCUUGAGUAGUUAAAAGAUAGAACAGUCUAGUCAAGUGCCAUGUCUCUUAUUCUUGAUCAGCUAUAGCUCUGGGGUUUUUGCAGAUUUUCAAAUAAAACUCAGAGAUUCCUUGUAUGACUCUCUCAGGUCUCUCUUUUGUGGUAUUUCUGGAUCCUUACCAAGGCAGUGCUGGUAUAUGCCUUCUCUCAAGAUAUGUAGUAUUUGUGGUAUAAGGCAUAGUGACAUUGCCUUCUCUCUCACCCUACUCUAAUAAGGCUUUAAUAUCUGGAGCUCAUAGGUGGGAAAUAAAGUAUACAUACUUACAAGACAUGUAUUGCAUAGUCAAACCAUGGAUCCAAAGAAACAAGCCAAUGAGUUUAAUCAAGAUGUGCAUGUGUGGCGAAUGAAUGAUGUAUGGUGAUGAUGGUGAUAACAAUGGUGAAAACAAUGGUGGUGGAAGUCUAAUUCUACUUUGCUCUUUGAGGGGAUACAUACCUUCCUUGCUUUUUUGAAACUUUAUGAGGAGAAUGAGAUGCUCUUCUUUUUCUUUUCUCUCAGGUGGGUAUCUUGCACCCCUAAUUCUACCGUCGGACACUUGUCCAUUUUUACCUCUCGUCUCACUUUCUCUUUUCUUUCGAGGUUCCGAGCACUUGCUCCUUUUUAUUUCCUCGUAUUUCUUUUUUUUAGAGCACUCAUCUCAUGAGAUAUUAUAGCAAGUGGUAGUAACAAGAUAACUUGAGCAUUUAUUUCACAAGGGAAAAACAAAAAUAUUUUUGGUUAUUCUCUCCUGGAUUAGGAGUAGAAUAUUUUUAGGUGGUUCUGGAGAUGGAAAUGGAUGGAUAUAUGUGGAUGGUACUUCCGGAGUAGAAGUAGCAUAUAUGAGUGAACGUGCAAGUGAAACCUUGAUUUAACCACAUGACAAGUUCCUAAGGGUCUACACAGCUUGACCACACUCAAUGCUCAUAAGCAGUAAAUAGUAAAUGUGUGGCUCAAAGUCUAGCAAGCAUGUAUAUAUGGCUGUGGUAGGAAUUUAAACUCUCAUCAUACAGGAACUCAUCAUGCAACAUUUUAAAGAUUUUCAAAGAUAAAAUUCUCCAGAAUUCUAGCAUCUCUAGGAACAAAUAAACAGCAGCUCAACCUUCCCAUAUCGUAUCCGUUAACAACUUAGACUUCAGAUCAAGUUUUCAUCCCACAAGUUUAGGUCUAGAGCAAGCUUUAAAUUAUAACAGUUAUAUCUACUUGAGAGAGAACUUAAAAUGUGCAAAUUAGGCAGAGCAACUAUUCAUCAUAUCCUUGCUUGAGUUUUAUUAUUAAGAUACAGAUUAGCAUAGCCACUUUAUUUAUUUUAUUAAACACACUAAGCAAAAGACAUAUAUAUAAGCAUAAAAAUCUUUACUUGGUUUUUUUCAUAGUUAUGUAUAUUUAUAUUCUAAAAUAAUAUGAGUGUAAAGAUAGAUAGAUAGAUAGAAAUACUUAUCGAGAUAAAUGGGGGUGCUCUCCCCCAAGCUGAAUUUUGACGUAAUUUCUCUUGAUGUAGCUAGCAGGUGGCAGAGGUGUAUUUGAAAGUCAGCAGCAUUCUGACAGCGAUUAGAAUGUCCUCCGUCUGCUAGUCUUCUUGAUUCUUAAAUUCUGUGGAGCUCAAAUAGACAACAAAGCUUGUGGAACUGAUUAAGUGUUAGCAUAAAUAUCUAGCCUUUAUCAUCUUGAGACUCCUUAAUAAUUAUUACUCCCUGUUUUUUAUAUUUUUAUUUUAUAAAGCAGAAAAAUAUUUAUUUUAUUUUUAUGCCACCACAGUGAAUGUACUUAUGGGUUUUAUGCCACUUGUAUACUCACAUGGGGCUUACUUUUUUUUUUCAUAUUUUUAUUUUCUUUUUAAGAUAGUACGAACAUGAUUAACUAAGUAAACUAUUUGAAAUAAUUAAAAGGGAAAGGAUAACUACCAAGUUUACCUCUUGGCAAGGCGUUCGGUGUUUUUAAGUCCUCCGAACGGGACUCUCCAUUUUCUUAAUCGUCCUGAGGUUCGUUGGGUGGCGUAGUCGGUACUUCCGGGAGCGCCUCCUCUUCAUGUAUAGUUAUCUUCAUUUUCCACACCUGACUUGGUGCUUCAAUCUCCUCUGGAUAAUUCUGUUUAAACUCAACGUCUUCUGAUCUUACAACUUCUCCUUCAUAGUCUGCCCAUCUGUCCUUGAUGAUCUGCCUCCUCUGGUUGCGGUUGCGUCUCUUUCUGAGCUACUUAGAUUCUUCAACGAUAUAGUUAGGGUCAGUAAAAUAAUGACAUACCUUCUCUGAGGGGAAGUGCAUAUGGACUUCUCCGGUUCCAAUGUAGAUAAUUGCUUUAACGGUGCUGAGGAACGGUCUUCCAAGGAUGAUGGGUGGAUCGUACUCAUCUUCUCCCAUGUCAAUAACUUGAAAGUCUGUGUAGACAAAGUGAUCGUCUAUUUUGACUGGGACAUCAGUUACUAUUCCAUUAACUUCUCGAAAUGUCUGAUCUGCCAUCUGGAGCUGAAUGUAUGUUGGUCUUAGUGGCAUGGUCCCGAACAAGAGCCGAUAGGUGACUGCGGCCAUUAUGUUGACACCCGAUCCGGUGUCACAAAAUGUCUUGUAGAAGUUGUAUCCAAUUAUGGAGCAGUAAAUGCUUGGCAUUCCUGGGUCGUCCUUCUUGGUCAAAAGCGGUGACUUAAGUUGGUGAUCUUGGCCUCCAUGAACUACAGUGACCAUCUUAGCUGACUUGGUCCACACUUGCUUGUUCCUGUUCUUCUUGUUGGUCCUCUUCCUUGAUUCACGUUUGGAUUGAUCUGGAAUUUGUGUAGUCUUGUUCUUGAAGAAAAAUAUCUCCUUCCUCCCUUUGACGUAGAAACUGAUCUUGGCAGCUCUAGCGUAGAUGAUAGCUCCCGUGGUAUUCAAGAAUGGCCUCCCUAAGAUGAUAGGUGCUCUCUCAUCAUUUCCGGUCUCUACCACUACGAAGUCUGCUGGGGCAUAUAAGGUACCAACUCGGACACAAAGGUUCUUCAAUAUUCCCUUUGGAAAAGUUAUCGUCUGAUCUGCAAAUUGCAAACACAUGGUUGUUUCUAAUAAAGGAUAUGUAAAGAAUUUUUCAUAGAGUACCCUGGGUAUAAUGUUGACACUGGAGCCAAAGUCGCAGAGUGCUUCUGGAACGUCCACCAUGCCGAUGGAGAUCGGGAUGACGGGGCGUCCUGGAUCGCCUCUCUUGACCGGCAGAAGGUCAGUAGAGAAUUCAUUGACGGGGUUACUCCAAUUACCUGCAUCAAACGUGUCUACAAGAUUUGCAGAUUCUAAUCCUUCCGGUUGUGAUGGUAUACCGGGGUUAGUAGUAGGAACAGUAGCAGCUAUUUGAUUUAACUGAGAUUCAAUCAUUUUAUUAAAGCUAAUUUGAUUCUUGAUGGCAGUAGAGAAAUUAUCCAUUCUAUUAUUUAUAUUUUCUAGCAUUUUAUCAUU